CUCAAUGUCCAACCUCAGGAAACAUCUAGAGGAAGGAAGAAAGCUGUGAGACUUCUACCUCUGCAGUGCCACCACUGCUUUUCCAUCUGGAUCACUGAUGCCUAACCCUGCAAGAACCAGAUGCAAGGAGGAGGAUGUCAGGGCAUCAGGAAGAAACCCUUGUAGAGAUGGGGAGAACAUGCAAAUUCCACGCAGGGAGGACCUAGGACACAAACCCUGGUCUCUUUACUAGGAGGCAACAGCAAGACCAUUGUGCAACCCUAUUUAUUUUUU